UCAAAGGUAUUUGAUCUUUCACACUUUGUUUGCUUUCUUUUGAGUUCAGUCUUAUUUUAUUGAUCCUUUUACUUACAUUAAAGAUAAAAAUUUAUCUGGGAAUAUCCAUGGAUCUAUUUUCAACAGAAAACAUUUGGCAAAUGAUCUGAUCGGGGCUGGAGAUACAGAGAUGAACCCAAGGCCAACUGUGUACCCAAGAUAUUUCCAGUUCCAUGGAGAAAGCAGCAUUAAUGCACGAUGACAGUAGGUUUCUUCCAGAUGACCAGCAGCACCUGCCACUUGUUAGAAAUGCAAUUUCUCCAGCCCCAGCCCAGACGUACCCAAUCGGAAACAUGCUGGGGCCCAGCCGCCUAUAUUCUAACAAGGCUCCAGGUGAUUCUGAUGCAGGCUCAAGUUUGAGAACCGUUGUUCUAAAGUAUAAUGAAAGAGAAAGAAGUACUGACACAGAGAGUUGGACUCUGUCUCCAUGACACCAAAUCAAGAACUGCCUCCUUCUCCGUCUUUCACCACCACCUGGGAGACUCUGUUGGCAGAAGACAGAGCAGAGCAGUUUCUGUGGCAGACUGAGGUUGUGAUGCAAACAGCUCUGAUGACAUUUCCUUGAGUGGUGCCCUGUCACCUGAAAAGCCACUUCUGCUUCUCGAUCACGCCCCAGUCCUAAAAUGGUCACAGAGAAUUAAUCAUCUGAAACCCACAUGUCAGCACAGAUGGGGGAGGGAGGAGGCCUGUAGUGAUAAAUGACAAUGUCUUCAAAGCAAGUUCUAAAACCACAGUUUCAGUGAAUGAAAUGCUUUUGUCUAAUAAACUUUAUUUAUGUGGAGUUUACCCAUAAUGGACAUAUUUUAAACAUAUAGUUCAAUAGAGUUUGACAAAUGCUACACGCCUCUGUAAUCACCACCACAGUCAAGAUUAUAGAACAUUUCUAUCACUCCAGAAAGUUCCCUUGUGCCCUUCCCCAGAAAUGGCCACAGGAAAUAUUUUUUAUUUUAUAAGCCAUAGAACAUUUAUUUGAACAUUUUUAAAAUUGGAGUAGCAUAAAGAAGAAUCUGUUCACUUGCCAGAAAAAAACAUUUAGAUCUUAAAUCCUUAACAUAAAAUCAGAUAACACUUCCCUCAGCAUAGUUUUAGCAUGAACUAACUACUAAUGAGAAGACAUUGCCAUAGUACUUUCAAACAUGGCUAACAUUUGAAGUGUAACAUUCACCCAAAAAUCUGAGUGGGAAAGGAAUGUUUUAGCUUACUUGAUAUAUCCUGAAGUUAAAAAGGUAGUACUAAGGCUACGUGGUAGGUAGCUCACAUUGGUGAGAAGACUGGAAGAGGGAGGAAGCAAAAAUGGAAAGAAAAAAGACCACGUAAAAUACAUAUUAUUCAUGUACUUAUGUAAAAUUAUACAUAUGUAUGUACAUAUGUGGAAGUUGAAUUUAAAAUACAAAAAAAAAAUUACAGAGACCUCAAUUCUUGCAAAAUUUUAAAAGUCUCCUAGUGAACUCCCUUCAAAACAUGUCCAGUUUUAUGUCACAUCAAAUAACUUUCUCGUCCAUCUUAAAAAAUAAAAACAAACUACAAUCUAGAAGAGAUUAUUGACUGAUGGAAAUAGAGUCUGAGAUUUGGAGUGAAAAGUGCUUUCUCAGCCUGCAGCUGAACAUUCUGCUCCGAAAGUGCUUCCCUGCCUGCUUCUCCACAAAUCAAUAAUAGAUCAGACAAGAACUUUUGUUGUUGCUACUUUCUAAGAGAUGCAGAAAACUGGGCAAGUCGGGAACCCAACGAGAAUUCUUGACUGUAAACCCCAUAUCCAUCUCUGUCAAGUGCAGUCUGUGGAAGCAUUUCGGAAGGAGAGCCACUUUCAGCCUGCUCUCUUCAAAGCAGUCUGCAGCUAGGAAGCUCCAGUGAUUUCUAGUGUGACUUCUUAAGCAAACCUUAAGAUUGGUUCAUGCCAUUAGAAAAUGAAAUUAUAGCUGAAAUUUUAUCCAAAAACUGACACUGGUAAGGAAAUCUAGGAGGAAAAAAAACCCACAAUUGCACAACAAAAGAUUUACCUUACUUUUAAAAUAUAAAAACAAUUCACUAAUAAAAAUAUGGCAAGGAAACAAAACAGAUGAAUGUUGGGGGAAAAGAAAGGAAACAUAAGAUAAAAACAGAGAGGGAGGCAAUGCAUAAGGGACUCUUAAAUACAGACAAUAAGCUGAGGGUUGCUGGAGGGGAGGUUGGGGGGGGGGGGGGGGAAUGGCCUAAUGGGUGAUUGGUAUUAAGGAGGACACUUGGGAUGAGCCCUGGGUGUUAUAUGCAAGUGAUGAAUUACUAAGUUCUACUCCUGAAACCAAUACUAUACACUCUCUGUUAAGUAACUUGAAUUUAAAUAAAUAAGUUUAAAGCUAUGCCUGGGUGACUCAGUCAGUUGAACAUCCGACUCCUGAUUUCAGCUCAGGUCAUAAUCUCACUGUGAGUUCAAGCCCCGCGUUGGGCUCCACGCUGACAGUGCAGAACCUGC